AAAUACGGGCGAGAGACCG
rnacentral:snRNA from 1 species